GUUUUGACUCCCGUCUAGACAAUUAGCUAAUCUAUAACAAAACUGUUAUUGUUUUCCAUAUACAUGAUGGUUCUGAAGUAGUGAAGCUAAGCGAAGAUGUUUUCCUUAAAAUAAGCAGAGAUGAUGAUGUUCAAUCUCACCAAAAAAAAGCUUACACAACCGAGGAUUAUCUCAAAGAUCACUGAAGAGCAACUAAAAGCUAAGUCAACCGCUGAAAGCCAAACAGAGGAUAGCCAAACUCAGACUCAAGAAUCGCCUACAACAACCCACACACCUGUACAAACACACCAACUGGUGAAAGCCAGCCCAAUGGUACAGCGAGAGAAACAACAGCUGCAUAGGCAAAAUUGAAAGCAUCACUUGUAGUGUUAAAAGCAUAAGCCUCUCUCUCUCUCUCUCUCUAUAUAUAUAUAUAUAUAUAUAUAUUGGGAAGCUUCGGAGGGAAUUUUUUUUGAUCUGCCAAAAGGGAAGAAGCUAUUAGCUCUCUUGACAUUCUCACAAAGCAGCUUGUGUGUACGCAUCUUGAUGGAUUGAAAAUUAUCAGCAUCUAUCUGUGUAUCAGUUGUGUACCCAUUAGUUUUUUUUCAUAAUGAUAAUUGAGUUUAUUAGGUGAAA